AGCGAACGCUGGCGGCAGGCUUAACACAUGCAAGUCGAGCGGGCAUAGCAAUAUGUCAGCGGCAGACGGGUGAGUAACGCGUGGGUACGUACCUUUUGGUUCGGAACAACACAGGGAAACUUGCGCUAAUACCGGAUAAGCCCUUACGGGGAAAGAUUUAUCGCCGAAAGAUCGGCCCGCGACUGAUUAGCUAGUUGGUGAGGUAAUGGCUCACCAAGGCGACGAUCAGUAGCUGGUCUGAGAGGAUGAUCAGCCACAUUGGGACGGAGACACGGCCCAAACUCCUACGGGAGGCAGCAGUGGGGAAUAUUGGACAAUGGGCGCAAGCCUGAUCCAGCCAUGCCGCGUGAGUGAUGAAGGCCCUAGGGUUGUAAAGCUCUUUUGUGCGGGAAGAUAACGACGGUACCCGCAGAAUAAGCCCCGGCUAACUUCGUGCCAGCCGCCGCGGUAA
rnacentral:rRNA from 1 species